ACAGGGUGACAGGUGGUGCAUGGUUGUCGUCAGCUCGUGUCGUGAGAUGUUGGGUUAAGUCCCGCAACGAGCGCAACCCUCGACCUUAGUUGCCAGCAUUCAGUUGGGCACUCUAAGGUGACUGCCGGCUAAAAGUCGGAGGAAGGUGGGGAUGACGUCAAAUCAUCAUGCCCCUUAUGACCUGGGCUACACACGUGCUACAAUGGGCGGUACAAAGGGUCGCGAACCCGCGAGGGGGAGCCAAUCCCAAAAAGCCGCUCUCAGUUCGGAUUGCAGGCUGCAACUCGCCUGCAUGAAGCCGGAAUCGCUAGUAAUCGCGGAUCAGCAUGCCGCGGUGAAUACCGGUUCCCGGGCCUU
rnacentral:rRNA from 1 species